rnacentral:rRNA from 1 species
UACGUAGGGUGCGAGCGUUAAUCGGAAUUACUGGGCGUAAAGCGUGCGCAGGCGGUUUUGUAAGCCAGAUGUGAAAUCCCCGGGCUUAACCUGGGAAUGGCAUUUGGGACUGCAAGGCUUGAGUUUGGCGGAGGAGACUGGAAUUCCUGGUGUAGCAGUGAAAUGCGUAGAUAUCAGGAGGAAUACCGAUGGCGAAGGCAGGUCUCUGGGCUAGAACUGACGCUCAUGCACGAAAGCGUGGGGAGCAAACAGG